UUGGUUAAGUUAGAAAGGGCGCACGGUGGAUGCCUUGGCACUAGGAGCCGAAGAAGGACGGGACUAACACCGAUAUGCUUUGGGGAGCUGUACGUAAGCGUUGAUCCAGAGAUUUCCGAAUGGGGGAACCCACUAUCUUUAGUCGGAUAGUAUCCUUACGUGAAUACAUAGCGUGAGGAAGGCAGACCCAGGGAACUGAAACAUCUAAGUACCUGGAGGAAGAGAAAGAAAAAUCGAUUUCCUGAGUAGCGGCGAGCGAAACGGAAAGAGCCCAAACCAAGAAGCUUGCUUCUUGGGGUUGUAGGACACUCUAUACGGAGUUACAAAAGAAAGUUAUAAAUGAAGUGGUCUGGAAAGGCCCGCCAAAGACGGUAACAGCCCGGUAGUUGAAAUGGCUUUCCCUCCAGAGUGGAUCCUGAGUACGGCGGAACACGUGAAAUUCCGUCGGAAUCCGGGAGGACCAUCUCCCAAGGCUAAAUACUCCCUAGUGACCGAUAGUGAACCAGUACCGUGAGGGAAAGGUGAAAAGCACCCCGGAAGGGGAGUGAAACAGUUCCUGAAACCGUGUGCCUACAAGUAGUUAGAGCCCGUUAAUGGGUGAUAGCGUGCCUUUUGUAGAAUGAACCGGCGAGUUACGAUUUGUUGCAAGGUUAAGCGGAAAAAGCGGAGCCGUAGCGAAAGCGAGUCUGAAUAGGGCGCAUAAGUAACAGGUCGUAGACCCGAAACCAGGUGAUCUACCCAUGUCCAGGAUGAAGGUAAGGUAAUACUUACUGGAGGUCCGAACCCACGCACGUUGAAAAGUGCGGGGAUGAGGUGUGGGUAGCGGAGAAAUUCCAAUCGAACUUGGAGAUAGCUGGUUCUCUCCGAAAUAGCUUUAGGGCUAGCCUCGAGGUAAAGAGUCAUGGAGGUAGAGCACUGUUUGGACUAGGGGCCCUUCUCGGGUUACCGAAUUCAGAUAAACUCCGAAUGCCAUGUACUUAUACUCGGGAGUCAGACUGCGAGUGAUAAGAUCCGUAGUCGAAAGGGAAACAGCCCAGACCACCAGUUAAGGUCCCCAAAUAUAUGUUAAGUGGAAAAGGAUGUGGGGUUGCUUAGACAACCAGGAUGUUGGCUUAGAAGCAGCCACCAUUGAAAGAGUGCGUAAUAGCUCACUGGUCGAGUGACCCCGCGCCGAAAAUGUACCGGGGCUAAACAUAUUACCGAAACUGUGGAUGAACCUCUUUAGAGGUUCGUGGUAGGAGAGCGUUCUAAGGGCGGUGAAGUCAGACCGGAAGGACUGGUGGAGCGCUUAGAAGUGAGAAUGCCGGUAUGAGUAGCGAAAGAAGGGUGAGAAUCCCUUCCACCGAAUAUCUAAGGUUUCCUGAGGAAGGCUCGUCCGCUCAGGGUUAGUCGGGACCUAAGCCGAGGCCGAUAGGCGUAGGCGAUGGACAACAGGUAGAGAUUCCUGUACCAGUGCUAAUUGUUUAACCGAUGGGGUGACACAGAAGGAUAGGGAAUCGCACGAAUGGAAAUGUGCGUCCAAGCAGUGAGUGUGAGAAGUAGGCAAAUCCGCUUCUCGCGAAGCAUGAGCUGUGAUGGGGAAGGAAAUUAAGUACGGAAGUUCCUGAUUUCACGCUGUCAAGAAAAGCCUCUAGGAAGAGUAGUACUGCCCGUACCGCAAACCGACACAGGUAGAUGAGGAGAGAAUCCUAAGGUGAGCGAGAGAACUCUCGUUAAGGAACUCGGCAAAAUGACCCCGUAACUUCGGGAGAAGGGGUGCUCUAUUAGGGUGCAAGCCCGAGAGAGCCGCAGUGAAUAGGCCCAGGCGACUGUUUAGCAAAAACACAGGUCUCUGCAAAACCGUAAGGUGACGUAUAGGGGCUGACGCCUGCCCGGUGCUGGAAGGUUAAGAGGAGUGCUUAGCUUCGGCGAAGGUACGAAUUGAAGCCCCAGUAAACGGCGGCCGUAACUAUAACGGUCCUAAGGUAGCGAAAUUCCUUGUCGGGUAAGUUCCGACCCGCACGAAAGGCGCAACGAUCUGGGCACUGUCUCAACGAGAGACUCGGUGAAAUUAUAGUACCUGUGAAGAUGCAGGUUACCCGCGACAGGACGGAAAGACCCCGUGGAGCUUUACUGCAACCUGAUAUGGAAUGUUUGUACCGCUUGUACAGGAUAGGUAGGAGCCGAAGAGACGUGUGCGCUAGCAUACGAGGAGGCAAUGGUGGGAUACUACCCUGGCUGUAUGACCAUUCUAACCCGCCACGCUUAGCGCGUGGGGAGACAGUGUCAGGUGGGCAGUUUGACUGGGGCGGUCGCCUCCUAAAGAGUAACGGAGGCGCCCAAAGGUUCCCUC
rnacentral:rRNA from 1 species